rnacentral:rRNA from 1 species
CACGUAGGGCGCAAGCGUUGUCCGGAAUUAUUGGGCGUAAAGGGUGCGUAGGCGGGGCUUUAAGUCAGGGGUGAAAUCCUGGAGCUCAACUCCAGAACUGCCUUUGAUACUGAGGAUCUUGAGUUCGGGAGAGGUGAGUGGAACUGCGAGUGUAGAGGUGAAAUUCGUAGAUAUUCGCAAGAACACCAGUGGCGAAGGCGGCUCACUGGCCCGAUACUGACGCUGAGGCACGAAAGCGUGGGGAGCAAACAGG